rnacentral:rRNA from 1 species
AGCGAACGUUUGCGGCGGGCCUAACACAUGCAAGUCGAACGGGCUACUUCGGUAGUCAGUGGCGCACGGGUGCGUAACACGUGGGUAAUCAACCCUCUAGACUGGGAUAACCCGGGGAAACUCGAGCUAAUACCAGAUGUGUCGCCCUGAUCCUCGGAUCGGGUCGAGAAAAGGUCGCAAGGCCUGUUAGAGGACGAGCCCGCGGCCCAUCAGCUUGUUGGUGAGGUAAUGGCUCACCAAGGCUAAGACGGGUAGCUGGUCUGAGAGGAUGGCCAGCCACACUGGAACUGAGACACGGUCCAGACUCCUACGGGAGGCAGCAGUGGGGAAUAUUGCGCAAUGGGCGAAAGCCUGACGCAGCCACGCCGCGUGAGCGAU